rnacentral:rRNA from 1 species
CUAGUCCGUCAGAAUUUCUUGCACCCGGACGCGGUAGCCAUCCUAAAUAUACCACUCAAUCCGGCGGGUGGUGAAGAUACUUUGGCCUGGGCUUUGGAGAAGUCGGGUAUCUACACUGUGAAAUCAGCGUAUCGUUCUCUUAUGACUCGCAAUGAGCUUGGCUCUUUAGAGGAAGGAGCGAUCGCAGAAACUUCAUCAGCUAACAAACAGUUGUGGACUGCUUUAUGGCGACUUCGAGUCGUUCCCAAAGUUCGGGUAUUU